CACGGAGGUCCAGGUUCGAACCUGCAAUAAACGACCCUUGCCGCUUGGCUUUGACUUACGACUCUGGUGGUCUCUUGUGGGGGGUUUCGCGACCUCGGGCAUUACAUGGCUCAGUUGCAUCACAAAGAU